UACAGAGGGUGCGAGCGUUGUCCGGAAUCACUGGGCGUAAAGGGCGCGUAGGUGGCACGACAAGUCAGUGGUGAAAGCUCGACGCUCAACGUCGAGUCGGCCACUGAUACUGUUGGGCUGGAGCACUGUAGAGGCAGAUGGAAUUCCGGGUGUAGCGGUGGAAUGCGCAGAUAUCAGGAGGAACACCGGUGGCGAAGGCGGGUCUCUGGGCCGAUACUGACGCUGAGGAGCGAAAGCGUGGGGAGCGAACAGG
rnacentral:rRNA from 1 species